rnacentral:lncRNA from 1 species
CAUGUACUUAACUAAUAAUAUCUAAUUUUGGUUGUGUGCCUGGCACAGUACAAGCCUGGGGAUGUUUGACUGAGCUAAGGCACUGAACAAGGUAGACGUGGACUUGGUCUGGAAACAUAUUCGAAACAAGUAGUAACUGCAGCCUUGAUGUGUUAGGAGGAGAAGCGCAGGUGCUUUCUGUUUUAUAAGUUAACAUUCCUCUGGGACUUGUCCUGAUCCCCUCCUGCUCCUGAAACUCAGGCUAGUUAAGGGGGGAAAUGAUCUGUCCAGGGCCACAUGUUUGCGUGCAGAGCCUGUAUUCUUCAGAGCUCUUGGCUUUGCUGAGGGAGUCUACAAUCAGCAAUCAGGAGUGUAGUGAAGGCUGGGGGCGGGGUGCAGGGGGUGCGUGGUGAGCGGAGGUGUGUGUCAUGGACCUGAAAGCAUGAAAAAGAAAGCGUGAAGCUUGAGUGCACUCCAUUCAUUCAGUCAUUCAACAACAAUUAAGAGUAUAAUUUGUUCCAGGCCCUUCCUUUUAGUGAGUUGGUGGUGUUUUGUGAUGGAAAACCCAUAAUGAGCAAGUUUGAGGUGGUGUCUGAACUCACUCCAGUUGGAAAACAGGAAGCAAGUAAUUACCCAGGAGGUAACAUAAUUACAAUUUUGUGGCGAGUGUUGAGAAAAACAGCAAGCUCUUCAAGUUUGUAAUUCAGUGGAUAAAGUUUGAGCUGAGAAGACAUAAAGAAAGAAAUGAUGGGAACUCCAGUUUUGGUCUUAUUCUCGGUUUGUAAAUGGAAGAUGGGAAGUAAAGUCUUAAGGGCAAUAGACUCUGUACCUAAACCGAGUGUGGAUUUGCUUCCCUUCCUGGGAGUUCGUGAAAUCUCCCUGCUGCUCUCCUAAGGAGAGCCACAGACCUUGAGGGAUCAAUCAUUGAAGCUAGUUUCCUCCCAAAGGAGACUACUUCAUCUAACAUCUCUUACUUUACAAGGUGUAAUACGGUCUACAAACCACCAUCCCUCUGGUAAGCAGCUUUUUAAAAAUUUUUAUGUUUGUCUUUUUAGGGCCACACCUACAGCAUAUGGAAGUUCCCACACUACAGGUUGAAUCUGAGCUGCAGCUGCCAUCCUACCCCAUAGCCACAGCCAUGCUAGGAUUCAAGCCACAUCUGUGACCUACACCAUAGUUUGUGGUAACUCCAGAUCCAUAACCCAGUCAGCGAGGCCAGAUCAAACCUGCGUCCUCAUGGAUACUAGUCAGGUUCAUUACCACUGAGCCACCAUGGGAACUCCAUUGUAAGCAGUCAUGGAAUAGCGGAAAAGUGUAAACAGAAAAGGAACCAACAUUCACAGAGUGAAAUAAGUAGGAGAAUCCAGUCCAAACAAGUAGGAGAA